rnacentral:rRNA from 1 species
GAUCCUGGCUCAGAACGAACGCUGGCGGCGUGCCUAACACAUGCAAGUCGAACGAGAAACCUUCGCUUCGGCGAAGAGAGUAAAGUGGCGAACGGGUGAGUAACGCGUGGGUAACCUGCCCCUGAAUUUGGAAUAACCCGCCGAAAGGCGGACUAAUUCCGGAUACAGUCCCCUGAACCUUGGUUUUGGGGAUCAAAGGUGACCUCUUCAUGAAAGUUGCCGUUUAGGGAGGGGCUCGCGUACCAUUAGCUUGUUGGUGGGGUAAUGGCCUACCAAGGCUACGAUGGUUAGCUGGUCUGAGAGGAUGAUCAGCCACACUGGAACUGAAACACGGUCCAGACUCCUACGGGAGGCAGCAGUGAGGAAUCUUGCGCAAUGGGGGAAACCUUGACGCAGCAACGCCGCGUGAGCGAAGAAGGCCUUCGGGUCGUAAAGCUCUGUCAAGCGGGAAAAAACGCUUCAGGUCAAUAGCCUGAGGAAUUGAUGGUACCGCUAAAGGAAGCACCGGCUAACUCCGUGCCAGCAGCCGCGGUAAUACGGAGGGUGCAAGCGUUGUUCGGAAUUACUGGGCGUAAAGGGCGUGCAGGCGGUUUGGCAAGUCAGAUGUGAAAGCCCUGGGCUUAACCCAGGAAGUGCGUCUGAAACUGCCAUACUUGAGUAUGGGAGAGGAGAGUGGAAUUCCCAGUGUAGAGGUGAAAUUCGUAGAUAUUGGGAGGAACACCCGUGGCGAAGGCGGCUCUCUGGACCAAUACUGACGCUGAGACGCGAAAGCGUGGGGAGCAAACAGGAUUAGAUACCCUGGUAGUCCACGUCGUAAACGAUGAGAACUAGGUGUAGCGGGUAUUGACCCCUGCUGUGCCGAAGUUAACGCAUUAAGUUCUCCGCCUGGGGAGUACGGCCGCAAGGCUAAACUCAAAGGAAAUGACGGGGGCCCGCACAAGCGGUGGAGCAUGUGGUUUAAUUCGACGCAACGCGAAGACCCUUACCUGGGUUUGACAUCCUUUGACCGCCUUGGAAACAAGGUUUUCCCGACUCUGUCGGGACAAAGUGACAGGUGCUGCAUGGCUGUCGUCAGCUCGUGUCGUGAGAUGUUGGGUUAAGUCCCGCAACGAGCGCAACCCUUGUCUUUAGUUGCCAGUAUUCAGUUAGGAACUCUAAAGAGACUGCCUCGGUUAACGGGGAGGAAGGUGGGGAUGACGUCAAGUCCUCAUGGCCUUUAUACCCAGGGCUACACACGUGCUACAAUGGACUGUACAAAGGGUCGCCACUCCGCGAGGAGGCGCUAAUCCCAAAAAGCAGUUCUCAGUUCGGAUUGAAGUCUGCAACUCGACUUCAUGAAGGUGGAAUCGCUAGUAAUCGUGGAUC